UGGGGAAUAUUGGACAAUGGGCGAAAGCCUGAUCCAGCCAUGCCGCGUGUGUGAAGAAGGUCUUCGGAUUGUAAAGCACUUUAAGUUGGGAGGAAGGGCAGUAAGCGAAUACCUUGCUGUUUUGACGUUACCGACAGAAUAAGCACCGGCUAACUCUGUGCCAGCAGCCGCGGUAAUACAGAGGGUGCGAGCGUUAAUCGGAUUUACUGGGCGUAAAGCGUGCGUAGGCGGCUAAUUGAGUCGGAUGUGAAAUCCCCGAGCUUAACUUGGGAAUUGCACUCGAUACUGGUUAGCUAGAGUGUGGGAGAGGAUGGUAGAAUUCCAGGUGUAGCGGUGAAAUGCGUAGAGAUCUGGAGGAAUACCGAUGGCGAAGGCAGCCAUCUGGCCUAACACUGACGCUGUGGUACGAAAGCAUGGGGAGCAAACAGG
rnacentral:rRNA from 1 species